rnacentral:rRNA from 1 species
AGUGAACGCUGGCGGUAGGCCUAACACAUGCAAGUCGAACGGCAGCACAGUAAGAGCUUGCUCUUACGGGUGGCGAGUGGCGGACGGGUGAGGAAUACAUCGGAAUCUACUUUUUCGUGGGGGAUAACGUAGGGAAACUUACGCUAAUACCGAAUACGACCUACGGGAGAAAGCAGGGGAGCUUCGGACCUUGCGCGAUUGAAUGAGCCGAUGUCGGAUUAGCUAGUUGGCGGGGUAAAGGCCCACCAAGGCGACGAUCCGUAGCUGGUCUGAGAGGAUGAUCAGCCACACUGGAACUGAGACACGGUCCAGACUCCUACGGGAGGCAGCAGUGGGGAAUAUUGGACAAUGGGCGCAAGCCUGAUCCAGCCAUGCCGCGUGGGUGAAGAAGGCCUUCGGGUUGUAAAGCCCUUUUGUUGGGAAAGAAAAGCAGCAGGUUAAUACCCCGCUGUUCUGACGGUACCCAAAGAAUAAGCACCGGCUAACUUCGUG